AGAGUUUGAUCCUGGCUCAGGACGAACGCUGACGGUGUGCUUUAGGCAUGCAAGUCGAACGAGAAAGCCCUUCGGGGUGAGUAGAGUGGCGAACGGGUGAGUAACACGUGGGCAACCUGCCCCUCGCAGGGGGAUAACCGGAGGAAACUCCGGCUAAUACCCCGUAAGCUUUCAGGGUCGCAUGGCUCUGUAAGGAAAGGUAGCUUCGGCCAUCCGGCGAGGGAUGGGCCCGCGGUGCAUUAGCUAGUUGGUGGGGUAACGGCUUACCAAGGCAACGAUGCGUAGCUGGUCUGAGAGGACGAUCAGCCACACUGGGACUGAGACACGGCCCAGACUCCUACGGGAGGCAGCAGUCGGGAAUCUUGCGCAAUGGGCGAAAGCCUGACGCAGCAACACCGUGUGAGCGACGAAGGCCUUCGGGUCGUAAAGCUCUGUUGUUGGGGACGAAGGGCGAAGGGUUAAUAGCCCCUAGCUUGACGGUACCCUUCGAGGAAGCCCCGGCUAACUACGUGCCAGCAGCCGCGGUAAUACGUAGGGGGCGAGCGUUGUCCGGAAUUAUUGGGCGUAAAGAGCGUGUAGGCGGUUCGGUAAGUCUGCCGUGAAAACCUGGGGCUCAACCCCGGGCGUGCGGUGGAAACUGCCGGGCUAGAGGAUGGUAGAGGCGAGUGGAAUUCCCGGUGUAGCGGUGAAAUGCGCAGAUAUCGGGAGGAACACCAGUAGCGAAGGCGGCUCGCUGGGCCAUUCCUGACGCUGAGACGCGAAAGCUAGGGGAGCAAACAGGAUUAGAUACCCCAGUAGUCC
rnacentral:rRNA from 1 species